rnacentral:piRNA from 1 species
UCCUCUGGGUGUGAAGAAACAAGGCUUA